CUCGUUGGCCACUGCACCUAGCCAUGCCCGCGUGAAGGAAGACAGCCCUCGGGGUGGAACCUCUUUUCUCUGUGCGGAAGAACACCGUUCUGCAGGGAGUGACGGGCAACAUCCUUAAGGACCGGCUAACUCCUUGCCAGGGGGCGCCCGAAUACGGAAGGUGCAAGGGGUGACCGGAAUUCCUGGGGGCUGAGGGUGUGGAGGUUGGAUGGCAAGGCACAACCCCAAACGUUGAAUUUUAUCCUGGUGAGUUUCCUUACUGCUGCGGUUCUUGAAACUUGGAGUGGUGAGGGGAAUUGGGGAUUUACUGGUGAAAAGAGUAAUUGUCACGAGGAACUCCUGAAGCGUACGCGAAAGUCUGGCUCGGAACUGUCACUGGGAAACGAGAGUAGGGGGAGCGGACAGGCAUAGAUUCCCUGGACCCCCACUGCUGAAACCAUGAAUGGUCCGCCCUCCGACCUAAGGUGUUAAUGGUUCCGCCUGCGAGGUAAGGACUUCCCCUGGAGACUCCAAUCACUUGGCUGAAACUCAAAAAAAAUUGACGGAU
rnacentral:rRNA from 1 species